rnacentral:rRNA from 2 species
AAAUUGAAGAGUUUGAUCAUGGCUCAGAUUGAACGCUGGCGGCAGGCCUAACACAUGCAAGUCGAACGGUAACAGGAAGCAGCUUGCUGCUUCGCUGACGAGUGGCGGACGGGUGAGUAAUGUCUGGGAAACUGCCUGAUGGAGGGGGAUAACUACUGGAAACGGUGGCUAAUACCGCAUAACGUCGCAAGACCAAAGAGGGGGACCUUCGGGCCUCUUGCCAUCAGAUGUGCCCAGAUGGGAUUAGCUGGUUGGUGAGGUAACGGCUCACCAAGGC